rnacentral:rRNA from 1 species
AACGAACGCUGGCGGCAUGCCUAACACAUGCAAGUCGAACGAGACCUUCGGGUCUAGUGGCUCACGGGUGCGUAACGCGUGGGAACCUGCCCUUAGGUUCGGAAUAACUCCCCGAAAUGGGUGCUAAUACCGGAUAAUGUCUUCGGACCAAAGAUUUAUCGCCUUUGGAUGGGCCCGCGUUGGAUUAGCUAGUUGGUAGGGUAAAAGCCUACCAAGGCGACGAUCCAUAGCUGGUCUGAGAGGAUGAUCAGCCACACUGGGACUGAGACACGGCCCAGACUCCUACGGGAGGCAGCAGUGGGGAAUAUUGGACAAUGGGCGAAAGCCUGAUCCAGCAAUGCCGCGUGAGUGAUGAAGGCCUUAGGGUUGUAAAGCUCUUUUACCCGGGAUGAUAAUGACAGUACCGGGAGAAUAAGCUCCGGCUAACUCCGUG